rnacentral:lncRNA from 1 species
CCUAGCGAUUUCUGUUGUCGUUGGGCAUAUUGAUCCACCCGCUAUCGGGCCGCUAUCGGACCACCCAUUAAAAAGUCUAAUCCCACGCUCGAGAUGUAUAUACCUCGGCGUGAGGGGGGUGUGUUGGAAGUCCCACAUCGACUAGAGAUGAGGCCAUUUAAGUGUAUAUAAGUGGGUGCAAACCUCACCCUACAAGCCGGUUUUGUGGGGUUGAGUUAGG